UACGUAGGGGGCAAGCGUUGUCCGGAAUUAUUGGGCGUAAAGCGCGCGCAGGCGGUCAUUUAAGUCUGGUGUUUAAUCCUAGGGCUCAACCCUAGGUCGCACUGGAAACUGGGUGACUUGAGUACAGCAGAGGAAAGUGGAAUUCCACGUGUAGCGGUGAAAUGCGGAGAGAUGUGGAGGAACACCAGUGGCGAAGGCGACUUUCUGGGCUGUAACUGACGCUGAGGCGCGAAAGCGUGGGGAGCAAACAGG
rnacentral:rRNA from 1 species